rnacentral:sRNA from 1 species
UUUUAGCCCUGAUUGAAGUGGAAAUCUUUUUUUUGCAUUUGAAAAAAAGAUUGUAGCGGAAAGCAGGACGGGUU